rnacentral:misc_RNA from 1 species
GAAAAAGAUUAAGAUACGUCCAAUAACAGCCUCUCCAAUUCCCUUGGGGGGGCUUUAUGUACCAGCUACGAUUGCAAAACAUUGAGACAGCAAAAUAUGCUAACUUUUGUAUUUUGUGCUUCAUGUGCUCUGGGCUAGAUAGUGAUCUGGUUUGUGCAAAUCAAGGAAAUGUUGAAAAAGGUCGAGUCCUUUAAAACACGUCCAACAAGUCCCACAGUCGGGCUUUCACCAAAACAAGGAAGCUUAAUUUAAUCUAAGCCAUGAGCAUGAUAGAAAGGGGCAAGUUUCAGUCGGCAAAUGAUAGUGUCAUAGGCAAAUAAUCUCUUAAUUUACAACUACCACUCUCUUGUAUGCUUGGCCUAAUACAAUGGGAAGUACAAAUAAUAUUUCAUACAUACAUAUACAUGCCUACUUCAUACUAAGAUGCUUGCAUUUGAAUGCUUGAUUCUGUACUUGUCUGUAGAGAUUCCGCAACUUCUUCCUCUUCCUCAGGAAGAUCAUCUGCAUGCUUUUCUGGUUGAUUAAAGCUUCUAACAAACUCGGUGAAAGCAGGAAAAUGCUCAGGUGAGAAAAAUUCAGCUCCCAUUCUCUGAUAAGUGAACAAGUCUACCACAUUUUCACCCGACACAUUUUUCUUCAUCUGCUCAAAAUGAUGGGGAGAUUUAGAAACCAAUGAGUUCUGCCCAGAAACGUCAACCCCAUACUUUCUGCAAGCUGUUCUAAUUUGUGCAAGUAACAGCUCUGGGCUUGACAGUGACCCCUGAGGCUGAUGCUUAUCUGACAGGUCCAUUCCAGGUAAAAUCAUUUUACAUGAAUUCCUUGCAAACAUCUCAGCAACCGCCCCGUAGCCAUCUCUGUUUUCUGUGUUAUAAAACCCAGCCGUCAGCUCAGACGGGUGAGUGCGGGUUUUGUACCAUUGGUGCAUGAGUGGGACUUUGCCAUAAAUUGUCACGGUAGUGUCACCAAACUCAGUGGAGGCAAGGGAAAGGAGGCGAUUUCCAUGAGACAAAAGCUGACUUGAAUACCAGGAAAGGAAGAAGUUGCCAUAAGGAGACUCCCAUGAUCCUCCAUGAUCCUUGAAGAAGCUGUUAAAGUUUGGCAACUGGUUAUAACUGGGGGCAUCAUGGGGACCACCAAGUCCCCAUAAAGGAUUUCCCAUUGCCUCAGCAUGUUGCUUUAGAAGGUUAAGCAUAUUUUUGUCAUAACAUUGGAACUCCCCAACUCCAUGGAUUUUGCCACUUUUAACUACCCCACGAUAAGAAGGAUAUCGUAGUUCUCCAUUUGGACCAAGUCCCAUCGUGAUGCCAGUGAUUGUGGAACCCAUUAAAUGCGAGAAUGAAGACUUGAAGCUCUUGCAAAAUUCCUGGUAAACUUGGACUGCUGUCUUACCAUUAAGGACAGGAAGAUCAUCAACAGCCAAUGACAAGCACUCUCUGAAGUGAUGCCCUGAUCUAUCGGCAAAGAAAAUACCAGGUUCUGAUUCACCAAUACGGGACACCCACUCAGGGAGUGGGAUUUUAGGUUGUUCAUUAGCGUGGAAGCAGAAAGACACAUGAAGUUUGAGACCAGCACUCUGAACCAUCUUUGCAAGAUUAAGGUAGCCUUCCCACUCGUAUUUGCCCAUUGCUUCCUUCUCAGCUAUUCCCCACCACACAGCCAUCUCCACACCUUCAACUCCUAAUAAUUUCAAAGCUUUAAGUCCUACAGAGAUUGCUCUAGCAUGGUUGAUCGAAUUGCAGUCAGAAACUGCAUCCAAGGGCAGUCCAACAUAUAAUCUUACAUCAUCGAGCUGCAAAAGACGAUUACUCUAAUUACCCCCAAUUUUUUUCCCCUAAUACAUAAAAUAUGACAAGUAUACAAGCGGUAGCUGAAUUAGAAUGUCUAGAUUUUUUUUUUAAUUUAAAUUCGGGAAAACUGCUAAAAAACGAACAUUAUAACACAAAAAUCGAUUCUUGUUUGCUUUCACCAAAUAAUUUCCCGGAAAAUUGAUUUCCUUUUCCCUUUUUCAAGCAGAAAAAUUUUACUUGACAAAAAUAAAGCAACAAGUUAAAUAAAAUAAAACCAGAGUUUAGGAAUAACUUCAAGAUCUAACCUUGAAACGAAACAAAAUGCAAAUAUGCAAACACUAACAGAAAACUAUGGGAAAAAAAUAUCGCAACAAAAAGAAGGAAAAGAAAGAUAGAAACCAUACCGAUUUGGACCUGGAAGCACAACCCCGAGUCGAGAGAUCAUCGGAGAGGACGGGUUCUGUUUGGAUCGCAUUUAAGGUAAAGUGAAGGCCAGAGUUUCUUCUCCACCUCGUUCUUGAAUCAAAGAAAGACACAUUAGUAGAGUUUCUUCGAGGAAAACAGAACCUCAACUCUUUAUUCACUAAUUCGCUUUUGCAAAUAGCGGCCUGAGAGCUUCCGAUCACCGACACCUCCAUAUCAAAAAACGAAAAAUCUAAAUAUUAUCGACAAUCUAAGAUCUGGCAGGUGGAUGGACCUCAAAUCGGGAAAAGAAAGCACCAAAAUUCCAAAUAAAAUCCAGAGAGAAAAUUUAGUUUUGAAUAAGCGGAAAAUCGAUUUGGUAGCGAGAAAAUAGAAUGUGUUUGGUAGCCGCGAAAAUCGAAAAAUUUAGUGUUUGGGAAUUGAAGUUGAAGGUUCCGUAAACGGUGUGUGGUUUUAAAGACGCGCUUUUUUCUGGGGCCA